CAGUCGAACGGGUGUACGGGGAGGAAGGCUUCGGCCGGAAAACCUGCGCAUGAGUGGCGGACGGGUGAGUAACGCGUGGGCAACCUGGCCUGUACAGGGGGAUAACACUUAGAAAUAGGUGCUAAUACCGCAUAACGGGGGAAGCCGCAUGGCUUUUCCCUGAAAACUCCGGUGGUACAGGAUGGGCCCGCGUCUGAUUAGCCAGUUGGCAGGGUAACGGCCUACCAAAGCGACGAUCAGUAGCCGGCCUGAGAGGGCGGACGGCCACACUGGGACUGAGACACGGCCCAGACUCCUACGGGAGGCAGCAGUGGGGGAUAUUGCACAAUGGGGGGAACCCUGAUGCAGCGACGCCGCGUGGGUGAAGAAGCGCCUCGGCGCGUAAAGCCCUGUCAGCAGGGAAGAAAAUGACGGUACCUGAAGAAGAAGCCCCGGCUAACUACGUGCCAGCAGCCGCGGUAAUACGUAGGGGGCAAGCGUUAUCCGGAUUUACUGGGUGUAAAGGGGGCGCAGACGGCGAUGCAAGCCAGGAGUGAAAGCCCGGGGCCCAACCCCGGGACUGCUCUUGGAACUGCGUGGCUGGAGUGCAGGAGGGGCAGGCGGAAUUCCUGGUGUAGCGGUGAAAUGCGUAGAUAUCAGGAGGAACACCGGUGGCGAAGGCGGCCUGCUGGACUGCAACUGACGUUGAGGCCCGAAAGCGUGNGGAGCAAACAGGAUUAGAUACCCUNGUAGUC
rnacentral:rRNA from 1 species